CAGUCGCCGCGGGAAUACAGAGGGUGCGAGCGUUAAUCGGAUUUACUGGGCGUAAAGCGUGUGUAGGUUGUUGUUCAAGUCAGUUGUGAAAUCCCUGGGCUCAACCUGGGAACUGCUUCUGAGACUGAACGACUAGAGUACGGUAGAGGGUGGUGGAAUUUCCGGUGUAGCGGUGAAAUGCGUAGAUAUCGGAAGGAACAUCAAUGGCGAAGGCAGCCACCUGGGCCUGUACUGACACUGAGACACGAAAGCGUGGGGAUCAAACAGGAUUAGAUACCCGGGUAGUCCCUGUCUCUUAUAC
rnacentral:rRNA from 1 species